rnacentral:rRNA from 1 species
AUCAGGGUAGCAAUAUCCUGUGAGAGUGGCGACCGGGUGCGUAACACGUAUGCAACCUACCUUUUACUGGGGGAUAGCCUCUCGAAAGAGAGAUUAAUACCCCAUAACAUUUCGGAGUAGCAUUACUCUGUUCUUAAAGCUACGGCGGUAAAAGAUGGGCAUGCGCCCUAUUAGAUAGUUGGUGAGGUAACGGCUCACCAAGUCAACGAUAGGUAGGGGUUCUGAGAGGAAGAUCCCCCACACUGGUACUGAAACACGGACCAGACUCCUACGGGAGGCAGCAGUAGGGAAUAUUGGGCAAUGGACGCAAGUCUGACCCAGCCAUGCCGCGUGAAGGAUGAAGGCCCUAUGGGUUGUAAACUUCUUUUGUACGGGAAAAAACCUCACCACGUGUGGUGAGCUGAUGGUACCGUGAGAAUAAGGAUCGGCUAACUCCGUGCCAGCAGCCGCGGUAAUACGGAGGAUCCAAGCGUUGUCCGGAUUUAUUGGGUUUAAAGGGUGCGUAGGCGGAUAAUUAAGUCAGUGGUGAAAUCUUGCGGCUCAACCGUAAAAUUGCCAUUGAAACUGAUUAUCUUGAGUACAGUUGAGGUGGGCGGAAUGUAUCAUAUAGCGGUGAAAUGCUUAGAUAUGAUACAGAACACCUAUUGCGAAAGCAGCUCACUAAACUGCAACUGACGCUGAGGCACGAAAGCGUGGGGAUCAAACAGGAUUAGAUACCCUGGUAGUCCACGCCGUAAACGUUGAAUACUCGAUGUUAGCGAUAUACUGUUAGCGUCCAAGAGAAAUCGUUAAGUAUUCCACCUGGGGAGUACGACCGCAAGGUUGAAACUC